rnacentral:rRNA from 1 species
CCCUUAGAUGUUCUGGGCCGCACGCGCGCUACACUGAUGCAUUCAACAAGUUUUCACCCUUGGCCGAGAGGUCCGGGUAAUCUUUGAACGUGUAUCGUGAUGGGGAUAGGCCCUUGCAAUUAUUGGCCUUCAACGAGGAAUUCCUAGUAAACGCGAGUCAUCAGCUCGCAUUGAUUACGUCCCUGCCCUUUGUACACACCGCCCGUCGCACCUACCGAUUGAAUGGUCCGGUGAGCCGUUCGGACUCGCUUGAGUUUCCUUUACGGGAGAUUCAGAUGGGGAAGUUCUGCAAACCUUACCAUUUAGAGGAAGGUGAAGUCGUAACA